rnacentral:rRNA from 1 species
ACUACGGGUGGCAGCAGUGAGGAAUAUUGGUCAAUGGGCGCGAGCCUGAACCAGCCAAGUAGCGUGAAGGAUGACUGCCCUACGGGUUGUAAACUUCUUUUAUAAAGGAAUAAAGUGAGGCACGUGUGCCUUUUUGUAUGUACUUUAUGAAUAAGGAUCGGCUAACUCCGUGCCAGCAGCCGCGGUAAUACGGAGGAUCCGAGCGUUAUCCGGAUUUACUGGGUGUAAAGGGAGCGUAGACGGCAGUGCAAGUCUGGAGUGAAAGGCGGGGGCUCAACCCCCGGACUGCUCUGGAAACUGUACGGCUGGAGUGCAGGAGAGGUAAGUGGAAUUCCUGGUGUAGCGGUGAAAUGCUUAGAUAUCACGAAGAACUCCGAUUGCGAAGGCAGCCUGCUGGACUGUAACUGACGCUGAUGCUCGAAAGUGUGGGUAUCAAACAGGAUUAGAGACCCUAGUAGUC